AUUGAACGCUGGCGGCAGGCCUAACACAUGCAAGUCGAGCGGAUGAAGGGAGCUUGCUCCUGGAUUCAGCGGCGGACGGGUGAGUAAUGCCUAGGAAUCUGCCUGGUAGUGGGGGAUAACGUCCUGAUACGGGCGCUAAUACCGCAUACGUCCUGAUGGAGAAAGUGGGUGAUCUUCGGACCUCACGCUAUCAGAUGAGCCUAGGUCGGAUUAGCUAGUUGGUGGGGUAAAGGCAUACCAAGGCGACGAUCCGUAACUGGUCUGAGAGGAUGAUCAGUCACACUGGAACUGAGACACGGUACAGACUCCUACGGGAGGCAGCAGUGGGGAAUAUUGGACAAUGGGCGAAAGCCUGAUACAGGAAUGCCGCGUGUGUGAAGAAGGUCUUCGGAUUGUAAAGCACUUUAAGUUGGGAGGAAGGGCAGUAAGUUAAUACCUUGCUGUUUUGACGUUACCAACAGAAUAAGCACCGGCUAACUUCGUG
rnacentral:rRNA from 1 species